GAGCCUUUUCACUGUACCUCAGCCCCCCAAUGGCCACUUCACUCCCUAGAGCCCUCACUUACGUCUCUCUACUUCGUUCAACACUUAAAAAACCUUCUUUAUCUCCAUUUUUAUCUCAAACCCCUAAAGUAUUCUUCACUAUCAAACCUAAGGUUCCUAAUUUUGCUAGGUUUAUAUCAUCAUCAAUGGCUUCAGAUUCCAAAGAUUCUCCCUCCAACAAUCCAGGCCUUCAUUCCACUCCUGAUGAUGCAACUAAAGGCUACUUUUUGCAACAAACUAUGUUUAGAAUUAAGGACCCCAAAAUCAGUCUUGAAUUCUACUCCAAAGUGCUGGGCAUGUCCUUGCUCAAGAGAUUGGAUUUCCCUGAGAUGAAGUUCAGCUUAUAUUUCAUGGGAUAUGAGGAUACAUCAUCAGCACCCACUGAUCCAGCUGAACGUACGGCUUGGACCUUUGGUCAGAAAGCUACAUUAGAGCUUACACACAACUGGGGUACUGAGAGUGACCCUAAUUUUACAGGUUACCACAAUGGGAAUUCAGAACCACGUGGCUUUGGACACAUAGGUGUCACUGUUGAUGACGUCUACAAGGCUUGCGAGAGAUUUGAACAACUGGGUGUGGAAUUCGUAAAGAAGCCUCUUGAUGGAAAAAUGAAAGGUAUUGCUUUUAUUAAAGAUCCUGAUGGCUAUUGGAUCGAGAUUUUUGACACUAAAAAUAUCAAAGAAGCUGCUGGUGCUGCUUCUUGAUUCAGAUGGUGUUAAAGCAUAUAAGGUAAUCAGGAGCUUGAUGCAAAUACCGACAGGCCAAAGUUUGUGAAAUUGGUCUUUGCUUACCACCUGAUAUUUUUGGAGGUCUGCUCUGGAGAAAUGGUGUUACUCCGUGUCCAUGAGCUCUUCGAGUUUCUAUUACGAGUCUUGAUCAACUCAGCUAUCUGUUGAAGAGAGAGUUCGAGUAAACGACGUUUCCUUUCAAGGUUAGAUGUGUUAGCAAAUGAGACUUGUGCUGUGUUUAGGGAAAAGGCUUUUAUCUGUGGACAACACCUCCCUGAUGUAUCCCAAAUAAUAAGUUGAUAGAACUCCUGUGAUUGCGAAACUAAUUACAGCCGAGGGAACGUGAGGCAAAGAUAACAAUAAACUCUAUCAUGCCGCUGCAUUAUACUAUUACCAUAAUUUUAACAUUUUCUGAAUUUCAUAUUUAUUUAGUUAAUGGGAAAAGAUUAAUUUUUCUGUUUC